GCUUUGGAGGCGAUGGGUCCACCUGUGAGUGGAGUACAGAACGUGGGGGAACAGCUUCCCAGGAGUCUGGGGCUCAACCUCUCCAGGAGGCCCUGAAGGUGGCCUGAGAAAGUUCUGCCUCUCGGGGGGGCAGCGUGGAGCACAGGAGCCGCAGUGAGUCCUGCCUGGCUCUAAGCACCACUUUCCAAGCAUGCAGCUUUGGCAGCAGGGACCGUGGCUCCAACUGCGGCUCAGGAUGAAGGCCCCAGGCGCUGAAGAGAGUGAAGCCGAACCCCUCCUCAAUCCCAAAACACUGGGGACCACGGUGAGACAGCGACGCCCUGGAUGCUGCCUGGUCAAGGUCAGGCUGUGAUCGGCCUGUCAGGCGUGUGGCAGAACCAGCUUCAGAGGCAGCGGUGUCCACGUAAUGAGCUCAAAUGAUGCCCCAGGAAGAACAUAGAUGGCUUCUUUCUUUAAUUCCUCAGCAUGUUUUUAAAUUUAAAUAACUCUACAUUGCAUUUUGGAAAAAGCGCUUCUAACAUAAGCCUGUUUGACUGCAGUUAAAUAAUUUAUGUGUCUCUUGGCCUGGGAAUCACUGUCUCCAUUAUUUUUUUUAUGUGACUCACUUUAUUGCUC
rnacentral:lncRNA from 1 species